UUUAUUUUAUUGGUUUAUUAAAAUUUCUUUUAUUCAUGUAAACUUCCUACUGCUAAUGUACUUUUUGCUACAGACAGAACGGUUGUACGUUCUUCGGUAUGCAACUCUAUAUAAGAAAUUACAUAUGCAUUUAGAUAAUUUUUUACUUACAAUUGAAUAUAUGUAUGUACUUAAUCAAAGAAGGUGGAGAAAUGUACAGAAUUUUAUGUAGUGACGUUGUCUCCACUUUUGUGGGUCUCUCAAAAGAAGUUAUGCAUUUCUUGAAUGUUUACGUCUGUCUGUACAUAUAUAUGUACACAUAUAUGGUUUCACUGAUUAUUUUGUUAUAGCUUAUGCGAAUAAUUUGAUCGAACUUCAUCAUAAUAUUUUCUUAAUAUGUCAACAAAAGACGCGUUUAACAACAUUUAUCAUUUUUAACAUUCAAGUUUAUUUUUUUACCUUAGUUGUGUUCUUUGAUAAACUUGAAGCAUACAUAGAGGGUUAUCAUAAUUGCUUUUCAAAAAAAUUAAAAUGUGACAUGUGGUCAUUAUAACUACAUGGGUACGUAUUUUGAAAAUUGAUAAUAAUUGCUCGGAUUAACAAAACAAUUGUAUUUAGUGUAUUGUUAACGCAAAACUUUUAAGUAGUUAGAGAAUGAGAUGAUUGUAUUGUUACUCAUCAUCAGCAACUUCCAUUUCUGUGUUACGCAGUGAAUUCACACGGGUAACUCGAGUCGGGCCAAUUUCUGCCAUUCUCACAAUAUUAUUAUCUCAAAUUUUGCACGCUUUAUUUACGCGGUAUCCAAAAAUAUUUUUCAUUAUCAAAUUUUUGUUAUUAGGUAUCUGUAUAUUGUGAAAAUUUAUUAUACUUUUUCAGUAUUCAUUUGAAGCUGAGAGCAAUUGCAAUGAUUCCAAAAAUUUCAAAAGGAAAUGAAGCAUCAAAUUAUGUAACAGCGAAUUGUUAUUUAUUAUGUAGUUGUUGUAUAUAACAGACACCCUACCAUGAACAUAUACAUAUAUGUAUGUUCAUAUAAUUUCUAUUAGCACACAUGUGCUAUAAUAUGUACAUAUGUGACUUGGUCUACAAAAAGGGAGCGAUUAUGAUGAAGACGAAGUAUGUGUAUCUCAGGCAGAAGAUGAUACCGAAUAAACUUUUGUUAAGAUUGACCUGUCUGUUGUUGAAGUAAAGGAGGAGGAUUUUUUUUUGGAUUCUAUCACGUGAAAAAGCAUCUCAUCUUCCAUCCGAAUCAACUAAAAAGUGAAAAUUGAUAUUUUGACACCUAAGCCCCUUUUCCGUUGACAAGGUCACAUAUGUUAAUAUACUUACAUUAGUAUGUAAAUGUUAAGGCUUAGUUAAUUAUAUAUUUUACAGCCAUUCUAUACUAUAGCGAGAAUAGUUGUAGUUCGGCAAGCGUAUACCGAAAUAUACAUUAGGAAUGGAUAUUGGAUACCUACUGCAUGCAAUAAUACGAGUAUAAUAUCGAUUACCCUCAUACCUUGUUUAUAGUACGCAGAAAUGUCAAAAUCAAGAAACAGCUAUUGAGCAGUUGACAUUUCUUAAAGAAAAUAUUUUGUAUUAUUUAGGAGCGUUUCUAACUGAAUUACUAUAUACUAAAAUUGAUAUCAAAAACUCGUUUCUUUAAACAAGUGCUUUAAGUACUUUUUGAAUUUUACACUUCGAAAGAAACGUCGGAGACUCGUCUGUAUAUAUGCAGACCAUUAGUUUCUGAGAUAUCGAUUCGAAAUUUUUACCACAUCGUUUUUCUACCAAGAAGCUGCUUAUUUGUCGGAAUCUUCGAUAUCAGACCACUAUUGGACAUAGCCGCCAUACUAAUACAUCAUGACUAAGUCCUUGUAACCAUUGAAUGUUUGUAUAUUGUAACCACAUGUGUUAACCGCUUUAAAUAAUAGAUUAUAAACAGAUCAAAUUAUGCUAUA